rnacentral:lncRNA from 1 species
CGGGAGCGGGGGAGCGGGAGCGGAGGAGGGGGAGUGGGAGCAAGAGGGGAGGAGGGAACAAGUAUCCUGUAAUGCUGCCUGUGAUUCAUUUUAAAAGGGUGUUAAGUGGCUCACAGGGAAAAUUAAAGGCCAUAUAUUAGCAGCAAUAAUGGUGUGUAUUAGCAGGAAUAGUAUCUCACUAUGUAUUAGCAGGAAUAAUGGUGUGUAUUAGCAGGAAUAAUGGUGUGUAUUAGCAGGAAUAAUGUUGUGUAUUAGCAGGAAUAAUGUCUCACUGUGUAUUAGCAGGAAUAAUGGUGUGUAUUAGCAGGAAUAAUGGUGUGUAUUAGCAGGAAUAAUGGUGUGUAUUAGCAGGAAUAAUGUCUCACUGUGUAUUAGCAGGAAUAAUGGUGUGUAUUAGCAGGAAUAAUGGUGUGUAUUAGCAGGAAUAAUGGUGCGUAUUAGCAGGAAUAAUGUCUCACUGUGUAUUAGCAGGAAUAAUGGUGUGUAUUAGCAGGAAUAAUGUCUCACUGUGUAUUAGCAGGAAUAAUAUCUCACUGUAUUAGCAGGAAUUCUGGCUCACUGUGUAUUAGCAGGAAUGAUGGCUCACUGUAUUACCAGGAAUGAUGGCUCACUGUGUAUUAGCAGGAAUGAUGGCUCACUGUAUUACCAGGAAUGAUGGCUCACUGUGUAUUAGCAGGAAUGAUGGCUCACUGUAUUACCAGGAAUAAUGGCUCACUGUGUAUUAGCAGGAAUGAUGGCUCACUGUAUUACCAGGAAUGAUGGCUCACUCGGUGAUGUGUAGCGAGAGUCUGUCUCUCACACAAACACCGAGAGAAACCUAGAAGUAUAGUGGCUGUGUGACUGGAAUGGAGUGACUGCACCCAAUGAGUGACUGCACCCAAUGAGUGACUGGAAUGGAGUGACUGCACCCUUUCCUGUCUGUCCUUCUCUUUCACUAAUCAGUGGUUUUGAUAGGCCUAAUUUGGAGACUAUGGAGCAUCAUGGCAGGUAAAACAAAAGACCACAAAUGAACAUACCACCAAUCAUUCCCCUUCUAUCCCCACACACAAACAAGCAGCACACAUACACAAUGCACAGCCAAGUGGAACACAUCAAAUCUGCUACUUUGCAUAUGGGCCACUUAUACAGAUAGCCUACUACCACCACACUCAGUCAUUGACACUGCUUAUGUUCGUUAAUAAAGAGUACUUCACCACUAACAGGGAAACACACAACAUUUCACUGGUGACAGGAAGGCACACAACUCUGCUUAAUUAUAUUCCUAUGGAAUCCUCAUUAUGAUACAUUAUGCCGUCGGAAAGUACUCAGAACCUUGACUUCUCCCACAUUUGUAACAUUACAGCCUUAUUCUAAAAUGGACUAAAGAAAAAAAUCCUUAGCAAUCUACACACAAUACCCCAUAAAGGAAAAGCGAAAACAGGCUUGUAGAAAUUUUUGCAAAUUUAUUAAAAAGAAUUUACUUUUCAUUUGAAUGGAAGAAGUUUGGAACCACCAAGACUCUUCCUUAGAGCUGGCCGCCUGGCCAAACUAAGCAAUCAGGGGAGAAGGGUCUUGGUCAGGGAGGUAACCAAUAACCCAAUGGUCACUCUGACAGUGGAGAUGGAUGAAACUUCAAGAAGGACAACCAUCUCUGCAGCACUCCACCAAUCAGGCUUUUAUGGUAGAGUGGCCAGACUGAAGCCACUCCUCAGUAAAAGGCACAUGAAAGUCCGCUUGGAGUUUGCCAAAAGGCACCUAAAGACUUUUAGACCAUGAGAAACCAGAUUCUCUGAUCUGAUGAAACCAAUUUCACCUCUUUGGCCUGAUUGCCAAGCGUCACGUUUAGAGGAAACCUGGCACCAUCCCUACGGUGAAGCAUGGUGGUGGCAGCAUCAAGUUGUGGGGAUGUUUUUCAGUGGCAUGGACUGGGAGACUGGACAGGAUCGAGGCAAAGAUGAACGGAGCAAAGUACAGAGAGAUCCUUGAUGAAAACCUGCUCUAGAGCGCUCAGGACCUCAGACUGGGGUGAAGGUUCUCCUUCCAACAGGAGAAAGACCUGAAGCACACAGCCAAGACAAGCAGGAGUGGCUUUGGGACAAGUCUCUGAAUGUCCUUGAGUGGCCCAGCCAGAGCCCGGACUUGAACCCGAUCGAACAUCUCUGGCCUGACCUGAAAAUAGCUGUGCAGUGACACUCCCCAUCCAACCUGACAGAGCUUGAAAGGAUCUGCAGAGAGGAAUGGGAGAAACUCCCCAAAUACAUGUUUGCCAAGAAGACUCAAGGCUGUAAUCACUGCCAAAGGUGCUUUAACAAAGUACCGAGUAAUGCCAAGCGCCACAAUUGGAUUCUGGAGCAGUGGAAACGCGUUCUCUGGAGUGAUGAAUCACGCUUCACCAUCUGGCUGUCCAAACCCGAAUCUGGGUUUGGCGGAUGCCAGGAGAACAGUACCUGCCCGAAUGCAUAGUGCCAACUGUAAAGUUUGGUGGUGGAGGAAUAAUGAUCUGGGACAGUUUUUCAUUUUUCGGGCAAGGCCCCUUAGUUCCAGUGAAGGUAAAACUUAAUGCUACAGCAUACAAUGACAUUGUAGAUGAUUCUGUGCUUCCAACUUUGUUGGAAGAGUUCGGGGAAGGCCCUUUCCUGUUUCAGCAUGACAAUACCCCUGUUCACAAAGCGAGGUCCAUACAGAAAUGGUUUGUUGAGAUCAAUGUGGAAGAACUUGACUGACCUGCACAGAGCCCUGACCUCAACCCCAUCGAACACUUUUGGGAUGAAUUGGAACGCCGACUGCGAUCCAGGCCUAAUCACCCAACAUCAGUGCCCGACCUCAUUAAUCUUCUUGUGGCUGUAUGGAAGCAAGUCCCCGCAGCAAUGUUCCAACAUCUAGUGGAAAGCCUUCCCAGAAGAGUGGAUGCUGUUAUAGCAGCAAAAGGGGGACCAACUCCAUAUUAAUGCCCAUGGUUUUGGAAUGAGAUGUUCGACGAGCAGGUGUCCACAUACUUUUGGUCAAGUAGUGUAUUUAUGAGGAUGUCUUGAACUAUUAUGAUGCGUUGACCCUAAUGGUGAGUUAUGAGGUCACUACUCACCAACAUGAGUACACAGUGGGGUGGGGAGUUUCAUAUGUACCUGUCCCCUGUUCACCUCUCCUUAUGCAUUGUGGUACAGUCGCUCUCUCUCACCCUCUCCAUUUCUCCUUCUCUCUCAUCCUCUGUUAGUCUGUCAUUCAUCUCUCAUCCUCUGUUAGUCUGUCAUUCAUCUCUCUCAUCCUCUGUUAGUCUGUCAUUCAUCUCUCUCAUCCUCUGUUAGUCUGUCAUUCAUCUCUCUCAUCCUCUGUUAGUCUGUCAUUCAUCUCUCUCAUCCUCUCUGUUAGUCUGUCAUUCAUCUCUCUCAUCCUCUGUUAGUCUGUCAUUCAUCUCUCUCAUCCUCUGUUAGUCUGUCAUUCAUCUCUCUCAUCCUCUGUUAGUCUGUCAUUCAUCUCUCUCAUCCUCUGUUAGUCUGUCAUUCAUCUCUCUCAUCCUCUGUUAGUCUCUCAUUCAUCUCUCUCAUCCUCUGUUAGUCUGUCAUUCAUCUCUCUCAUCCUCUCUGUUAGUCUGACAUUCAUCUCUCUCAUCCUCUCUGUUAGUCUCUCAUUCAUCUCUCUCAUCCUCUGUUAGUCUGUCAUUCAUCUCUCUCAUCCUCUCUGUUAGUCUGACAUUCAUCUCUCUCAUCCUCUCUGUUAGUCUCUCAUUCAUCUCUCUCAUCCUCUGUUAGUCUGUCAUUCAUCUCUCUCAUCCUCUCUGUUAGUCUGUCAUUCAUCUCUCUCAUCCUCUCUGUUAGUCUCUCAUUCAUCUCUCUCAUCCUCUGUUAGUCUGUCAUUCAUCUCUCUCAUGCUCUGUUAGUCUCUCAUUCAUCUCUCUCAUCCUCUCUGUUAGUCUGUCAUUUAUCUCUCUCAUCCUUUGUUAGUCUGUCAUUCAUCUCUUUCAUCCUCUGUUAGUCUCUCAUUCAUCUCUCUCAUCCUCUCUGUUAGUCUGUCAUUCAUCUCUCUCAUCCUCUCUGUUAGUCUCUCAUUAAUCUCUCUCAUCCUCUGUUAGUCUGUCAUUCAUCUCUCUCAUCCUUUGUUAGUCUGUCAUUCAUCUCUCUCAUCCUCUGUUAGUCUGUCAUUCAUCUCUCUCAUCCUCUGUUAGUCUGUCAUUCAUCUCUCUCAUCCUCUGUUAGUCUGUCAUUCAUCUCUCUCAUCCUCUGUUAGUCUGUCAUUCAUCUCUCUCAUCCUCUGUUAGUCUGUCAUUCAUCUCUCUCCAUGAUGUGGAUCUCUUUCCUCACGCCUUUUAUUUCUCCUCCCUCUGUGUUGCUCUCUCUCUCUUUCUCUCUUUCUCCACCUCUCCCUCUAUCUCGGCUAUUCUGACCAGUAGGUUGUUAGUAGUCUCCCUCUGUCUCCCCAUCUCCUUCUCUAUCCUGACCAGUAGGUUGUUAGUAGUCUCCCUCUGUCUCCCCAUCUCCUUCUCUAUUCUGACCAGUAGGUUGUUAGUAGUCUCCCUCUGUCUCUCCAUCUCCUUCUCUAUUCUGACCAGUAGGUUGUUAGUAGUCUCCCUCUGUCUCUCCAUCUCCUUCUCUAUUCUGACCAGUAGGUUGUUAGUAGUCUCCCUCUGUCUCCCCAUCUCCUUCUCUAUCCUGACCAGUAGGUUGUUAGUAGUCUCCCUCUGUCUCUCGUCCUCACUCUCACCCUCCUUAUCUGUUGUUGGUUGUCUCCCUCUCCCUCACCCCCCUCUCCUCCCUCUCUUUCUCUGUCUCUAUCUCUGUGUCACCUGUGAGUAACGACGGGCCGUGGACUCUAUUCAUCACCCGUUCCUGCACAUGCUCAAUAGCUCUUCAUUAUAUUAAUUACUCUCAUUGGAAGAGUGAUCAUCAGUCCUGUCAGGAUCCAUCACGCCCCGGUUCCCACGACAUUGAGGACCCAGCUGUGGUCCGCGUGGUAAACAAUCACCGGUGGGUGGCUGCCGGUAAGGGGGCUGAUGACUGGCGGCCCCGCCGGACCUUGCGGGGGGGUGGGCUCUAAAUACCGAGGAGGCACCACUCCUGCAGGGCCCCACCCGUCUCUGCCACAGCCACACUGUCCUAAGCACUGUUACAGGAUCAAAUGUGUUUUCAUCCCCAUCAUAAAUGAGGUGAGGAUCGGCUGUCGGGUAAACGGAUUCUGGAUCUGUGAUUAGAGGCGACAAAGAACACACUUCCUGUUUCUUAUGCUUUAAAAUUGUGACGAAGGUGGUUUCUCCUCAGUGUGGAGAAGCUUGGGUGAUUCACAUCAUGUGGAACCUUGCUUGAGACCCAAAGACUUAUGUUUGCUAGCAUAGCUUAAUGCCUAGGCUUCAAAUCAAAGUUUACUGGUCGCAUACACAUGUUUAGUAGAUGUUAUUGUGGGUGACGUAAAAUGCUUGCGUUUCUAGCUCCAACAGUGCAGUAAUAUCUCAGCUCAGUGGGAUAAUGCGAUCUUGAGGAUUCUGCUAAUAUAGAACCAGUCCAGCAGCAGAAAUCUGCAGCUAUUAAGAGCCAAUCAGGCCCAGUAAUAUAACAGCUCUCUCUAUGGCCUUUUCACUCCCUGUUUAAGGCUGUCUUCAUGGUCAAUUGACCUAAUGCCUCAUCCCUGUCUCUGUUAAUUGGAACAGUUAGAGAGAGAGCGAGCGAGAGAGAGAGAGCGAGAGAGAGCCCAUUUGGGGUGUUCUCUCCAUCCCUCUGUGCCACAUCCAUCUUCCCAUAAUGCAUCCUGACGGGGCGGAACUGCCCCUCCCCCCAUGUACCGUGUCACCCGCAGAACGGGCUGCCUGCUGGACAUGGAAUGAUGGGAUACAGCGUUCUCUGCUGUCAUCACUAAUCCUGCGCUCUCAUCCACACAGCUGAAUCUUCAUCUCACCCUAAAGUGUGUACACACACACACAUGCAGGUGGCAGUCGCCUCAGGGCACUGGGCUGUGGUAAGCAGGUAAAUAUAGAGAGGACCGUCUUUAUUAGAAUAGAAAAGACUCUGCUGCUGUCUGUCAGAGGUAAACGUGAGGGAUUGGAGCUAUGCUGCCUCAUCCAAAGCUCUUCCUGGUUAUUCCCAACAAUAGCCCCCUUCACGGGGCCAAAGCACUUCCUGGUUAUUCCCAACAAUAGCCCCCUUCACGGGGCCAAAGCUCUUCCUGGUUAUUCCCAACAAUAG